UACGUAGGGUCCGAGCGUUGUCCGGAAUUACUGGGCGUAAAGAGCUCGUAGGUGGUUUGUCGCGUUGUUCGUGAAAACUCACAGCUCAACUGUGGGCGUGCGGGCGAUACGGGCAGACUGGAGUACUGCAGGGGAGACUGGAAUUCCUGGUGUAGCGGUGGAAUGCGCAGAUAUCAGGAGGAACACCGGUGGCGAAGGCGGUUCUCUGGGCAUUACCUGACGCUGGAGGAGCGAAAGCCGUGGGGAGCGAACAGG
rnacentral:rRNA from 1 species